GGUUAAGCGACUAAGCGUACACGGUGGAUGCCCUGGCAGUCAGAGGCGAUGAAGGACGUGCUAAUCUGCGAAAAGCGUCGGUAAGGUGAUAUGAACCGUUAUAACCGGCGAUGUCCGAAUGGGGAAACCCAGUGCAAUUCGUUGCACUAUCGUUAACUGAAUACAUAGGUUAACGAGGCGAACCGGGGGAACUGAAACAUCUAAGUACCCCGAGGAAAAGAAAUCAACCGAGAUUCCCCCAGUAGCGGCGAGCGAACGGGGAGCAGCCCAGAGUCUGAAUCAGCUUGUGUGUUAGUGGAACGGUCUGGAAAGUCCGACGGUACAGGGUGAUAGUCCCGUACACCAAAAUGCACAGGCUGUGAACUCGAAGAGUAGGGCGGGACACGUGGUAUCCUGUCUGAAUAUGGGGGGACCAUCCUCCAAGGCUAAAUACUCCUGACUGACCGAUAGUGAACCAGUACCGUGAGGGAAAGGCGAAAAGAACCCCGGCGAGGGGAGUGAAAAAGAACCUGAAACCGUGUACGUACAAGCAGUGGGAGCACCUUCGGGUGUGACUGCGUACCUUUUGUAUAAUGGGUCAGCGACUUAUAUUCUGUAGCAAGGUUAACCGUAUAGGGGAGCCGCAGGGAAACCGAGUCUUAACUGGGCGUUAAGUUGCAGGGUAUAGACCCGAAACCCGGUGAUCUAGCCAUGGGCAGGUUGAAGGUUGGGUAACACUAACUGGAGGACCGAACCGACUAAUGUUGAAAAAUUAGCGGAUGACUUGUGGCUGGGGGUGAAAGGCCAAUCAAACCGGGAGAUAGCUGGUUCUCCCCGAAAGCUAUUUAGGUAGCGCCUCGUGAACUCAUCUUCGGGGGUUAGAGCACUGUUUCGGCUGGGGGUCAUCCCGACUUACCAACCCGAUGCAAAACUACGAAUACCGAAGAAUGUUAUCACGGGAGACACACGGCGGGUGCUAACGUCCGUCGUGAAGAGGGAAACAACCCAGACCGCCAGCUAAGGUCCCAAAGUCAUGGUUAAGUGGGAAACGAUGUGGGAAGGCACAGACAGCCAGGAUGUUGGCUUAGAAGCAGCCAUCAUUUAAAGAAAGCGUAAUAGCUCACUGGUCGAGUCGGCCUGCGCGGAAGAUGUAACGGGGCUAAACCAUGCACCGAAGCUGCGGCAGCGACACUAUGUGUUGUUGGGUAGGGGAGCGUUCUGUAAGCCUGCGAAGGUGUGCUGUGAGGCAUGCUGGAGGUAUCAGAAGUGCGAAUGCUGACAUAAGUAACGAUAAAGCGGGUGAAAAGCCCGCUCGCCGGAAGACCAAGGGUUCCUGUCCAACGUUAAUCGGGGCAGGGUGAGUCGACCCCUAAGGCGAGGCCGAAAGGCGUAGUCGAUGGGAAACAGGUUAAUAUUCCUGUACUUGGUGUUACUGCGAAGGGGGGACGGAGAAGGCUAUGUUAGCCGGGCGACGGUUGUCCCGGUUUAAGCAUGUAGGCUGAUUGUCCAGGCAAAUCCGGAUAAUCAAGGCUGAGGUGUGAUGACGAGGCACUACGGUGCUGAAGUAACAAAUGCCCUGCUUCCAGGAAAAGCCUCUAAGCAUCAGGUAACAUCAAAUCGUACCCCAAACCGACACAGGUGGUCAGGUAGAGAAUACCAAGGCGCUUGAGAGAACUCGGGUGAAGGAACUAGGCAAAAUGGUGCCGUAACUUCGGGAGAAGGCACGCUGGUGUGUAGGUGAAGUCCCUGCGGAUGGAGCUGAGACCAGUCGAAGAUACCAGCUGGCUGCAACUGUUUAUUAAAAACACAGCACUGUGCAAACACGAAAGUGGACGUAUACGGUGUGACGCCUGCCCGGUGCCGGAAGGUUAAUUGAUGGGGUUAUCCGUAAGGAGAAGCUCUUGAUCGAAGCCCCGGUAAACGGCGGCCGUAACUAUAACGGUCCUAAGGUAGCGAAAUUCCUUGUCGGGUAAGUUUCCGACCUGCACGAAAUGGCGUAAUGAUGGCCAGGCUGUCUCCACCCGAGACUCAGUGAAAUUGAACUCGCUGUGAAGAUGCAGUGUACCCGCGGCAAGACGGAAAGACCCCGUGAACCUUUACUAUAGCUUGACACUGAACAUUGAGCCUUGAUGUGUAGGAUAGGUGGGAGGCUUUGAAGCGUGGACGCCAGUCUGCGUGGAGCCAACCUUGAAAUACCACCCUUUAAUGUUUGAUGUUCUAACGUUGGCCCCUGACCGGGGUUGCGGACAGUGUCUGGUGGGUAGUUUGACUGGGGCGGUCUCCUCCCAAAGCGUAACGGAGGAGCACGAAGGUUAGCUAAUCCUGGUCGGACAUCAGGAGGUUAGUGCAAUGGCAUAAGCUAGCUUGACUGCGAGCGUGACGGCGCGAGCAGGUGCGAAAGCAGGUCAUAGUGAUCCGGUGGUUCUGAAUGGAAGGGCCAUCGCUCAACGGAUAAAAGGUACUCCGGGGAUAACAGGCUGAUACCGCCCAAGAGUUCAUAUCGACGGCGGUGUUUGGCACCUCGAUGUCGGCUCAUCACAUCCUGGGGCUGAAGUAGGUCCCAAGGGUAUGGCUGUUCGCCAUUUAAAGUGGUACGCGAGCUGGGUUUAGAACGUCGUGAGACAGUUCGGUCCCUAUCUGCCGUGGGCGCUGGAGAAUUGAGGGGGGCUGCUCCUAGUACGAGAGGACCGGAGUGGACGCAUCACUGGUGUUCGGGUUGUCAUGCCAAUGGCACUGCCCGGUAGCUAAAUGCGGAAGAGAUAAGUGCUGAAAGCAUCUAAGCACGAAACUUGCCCCGAGAUGAGUUCUCCCUGAGACUUUAAGUCUCCUGAAGGAACGUUAAAGACGAUGACGUUGAUAGGCCGGGUGUGUAAGCGCAGCGAUGCGUUGAGCUAACCGGUACUAAUGAACCGUGAGGCUUAACCUU
rnacentral:rRNA from 1 species